GCCAACGAUCAUACCAUGUUGAAUACACUAGUUCCCGUCAGAUCACUGAAGUUAGGCAACGUCGGGCGUGGUUAGUACUUGGAUGGGUGACCACUUGGGAACACCACGUAUCGUUGGCUCUU
rnacentral:rRNA from 1 species